AUGAUCCUGUGGCUGAAUUUGGUUUCCUUCCUAGCAGUCCUCAGAGGUGUCCAGUCAGAGGUCCAGUUGGUGGAGUCUGGAGGAGAUGUGAGAAGGCCUGGAAAGUCCCUCCGUCUCUCCUGCCAAGUCUCUGGCUUCACUUUCAGCAGCUAUGGCAUGCACUGGGUGAGACAGGCUCCAGGGGAAGGACUGGAAUGGGUUGCAGUUAUUUGGUAUGAUGCCAGUAAGCAGUUCUAUGCAGAGUCUGUGAAGGAAUGCUUCACCACCUCCAGGGACAACUCCAAAAGCCAGUUCUAUCUGCAAAUGAACAACGUGAAGCCAGAGGACACGGCAGUCUAUUACUGUGCGAGAGACACAGUGGGAGGAACUUUGUCGGGGAAAGUGGAAGACUGGUCUGAGCCAACC